AUUAGUUCUGAGAAGUGACUGCUUUUUGUCUUGCCUCUCACCAGAUAUAUCCAUGUGAUAAAAAAAUAGUGGUACAAUGAAAUUGCAUAUUUGCUUAGCGACAUGAUACAUACUUGCAAUGAGCACGGUGCCUGUGUUUACUAUAAAAAGCAACAGCCCAUGCUUGGUUAGGUUAGGCCCACUACAACAUGCAGGCAUGGGUGAUUGGCGCUUUUUUUAUUUCUGUGUCGUGAGGUUUAUUGACGUGCGUAUAGGUGCAGUGGCACGCAGUAUGGCUAGUACAAAAAGGGGGGGGGCAGAUAUAUGUAGCUCACUGUACACGACACAGGGCAAAGGAAAUCCGUGUUCAGCAACUAUGUUAAAUGCCAUAUACGUAAAUUUUACAACGCUACUCGUUCGAAGCGCGCACAGGUGCAUAUUGAAGAAAAGUUUCCAGGGUAGAUAAUUUAGUUCGUAAUUUACACUAAUUUUGCUCUAACCACGAGACAUAAUAAUUUGAAUAUAGUGCACGGAAAAACCUAGAGCGAAUUAAAUUAUGUGUCAGCUUCGUGUGUAUACAUAUAGUCUUUCCUAUGCAUCAGGUUUUUUGCGUAAUGCAUUAACAGUUGACAGCCUAUCUUAUGAUGUGUACUCUGUUUACAUUACAGUUGUUUAUUAGUUUACUCGUUUGUUUUGCGACUGAUGAAAUGCCGGCAUAUAUAUAUUGUCAACAUUUGACAUAACCCUGUAUGUUUUGCAGGGACAACCCAGGACGUGCAUUUCUCAGCACUCAGUCAACUGCCAAAAGUGACUCAAACACAGGCCACCAGUGGAACUCGGCUGUACCACUGCAGUGCUGCGGAAAUUGCCUUCACCAGCGGCUUUGCAACAGCUGUUUCGCAGCAUGUCGGAGACAAUGCCUACGAAAUUAUUGGCCCUGAUCAUGAGAGCCCUCAAGGGGCAAACAACAUCUCUGUUGCAGAAGUGAGCCCGGUACCACUUGGAAGUUACCAUGAGAGAUGACACGGCAGCAAUAGAUACAGAGACUGCCACGUCUACUGCAGCUGCAACAGUGUACGAGGCAAGCAGCACCGCGUCAGCAUCAGCAGCAGUGUCAGAAGGAACCACACCAGGCCUGGUAGAGCAACAUGUGUGCUAUCACUGACUUUUUUUGUAGUGGAUACAACUCAUUUGCUCAACAUACAAAAGCUUUUCACCACGACUGUGAGCCAGUGUUAUUGUGCAGCAAGUGCAAGACUAAGUUAGGUGUUAUAACACAGUACAAGCAUCACUUUAAUAUAUGCAAAUGCAAACAUAUUACAGUUGUUGCCUCCCCAGCCAGCCCACAUAGUGACAACAAUGUGGAACACAUGGUGGGACACACCUCUCCCCCAUUACAAGAUAGUAGAGACUGUCAGUGUUGUUGCUAGAUUGACUGGUUUUUGUAGGCAACUAGAAGGACAACACAGGUGUCAUAAGAUUGUUGUUGAUGUUGUUGUUGAAGAGGUAAAAAAGAAGUUUGAUGCAGCUGAAGUGCCAACUGAUAUUGAGCAAAUCAAAAGCAACCACCUGAGAAAGCAACACUAUCGAAAUUUGGGUAUCUAUGCGCCGCCAACUCUGGUAAGAAUGGCAUAGGACAGAAGUGUGAUGAAAAUCACACAGACACUGCUGUUGCAUCACUGGCCAUAGUGAGCAGCGACUUGUAGGGCAAGAGAGUCAACUGAAACUAACAUUAUGAUAUAGUGUCAUGCUCCCAUGUGACCACUUUUCAAGUUAUUUUGCAAGAUACAGCUCAACCUCCAGAAACGAGACUGCAACUUGUCUGUAAACAAGCUUUCACAAAAAAUUAUUCAUAACACUAUUAACAUAGCAGUAUUUUUUUUUUGUGUCGGUUCGAGGUUCCCGGCUGUCCAUUAAUGCAAAAAUUGAGGAAAAAAAGAACAUGUGUCGUGCUUACACCUUUUUAACAAGUACGAGGGGGACAGAACUUUUCUAGUCAUGCAUCUUCAUCAUACUAUCAAGUUUUUAAAUGCCUUUUAUAAUUAUUAUUACCUGUUAUAUCUGAGUGCAUUGUAUGCAUGUAGCAGGUGUAAAAUCAGGUCAGUUGGAUCAGAUGCCUUAUCUGCAAGCGAGCCCUAUAUUCAAGAAAUUUGAAUUAAAAUAGUUACGUUAGAGACGCAGUCUUUCAGCACUUUAUUGUCUGUGGUUUAAGCAUUGCUCAAUACUUUUGUGGGUGGCAAUUUCAACCGGCACAGCACUGCGCUUUGCCACAGUCACAUUUGUCUUCAAAGCGGUGUUUACCAUUUGUGUUGAUCUGUUUGUGUAUGCAUAGAGCAAGUUUUUAAUUUAUAUUUUUCUGCAUUCUUGUGCUUGCACUAAGCUUGUAUAAGGCAGUUACAAAAUGUGCGUCACUAUAACGAACUGUUCUGUUGAGCUUACACUUGCAAAUAAUCGUGUUCAGAUGGCCGCACUUCUAUGCGGGUGCACCGCUAGCUUUGUGUAUGUUCUCAUGUUUGUAUAAAGCUUAUAUAAGCUAGUUAGAAAAUGUAUGUCACUAAGCAUUGUGAUAUUCUUUAAAGAACUGCUUGGUUGGUUUUACACUUGUGAAUUAGUAUUGAGGCGGUGGUAUUCCCAUGUAUGCCCACUGCUAGCUUUCUGUGUCCUCACGUGUUUGUAUUAAGUUUCUACAAGGGAGUUACAGCAUGUACGUCACUAAGCGCUGUGAUAUUUUUUAAAGAACUGCUUUGUUGGUUUUACACCUGUGAGUAAUAGUACUCGGGUGGCACUAGUCAUGUGUAGGUACACAGGGACCAUUUGUAUACAUUAUGCUCAUGUAAAGCAGUUACAAAGUGUAUGUCACUAAUUACUGUGAUAUUUGUUGAAUUGCUGUGAUGGUUUUACACAUGUGAAUAAUAG
rnacentral:lncRNA from 1 species